rnacentral:rRNA from 1 species
CCCUUAGAUGUUCUGGGCUGCACGCGCGCUACACUGUCGGAUUCAGCGAGUCAUAUCCUUAACCGAAAGGUUUGGGUAAUCUUUUGAAAGUCCGACGUGAUGGGGAUUGAUCAUUGCAAUUAUUGAUCAUGAACGAGGAAUUCCUAGUAAGCGCGAGUCAUCAGCUCGCGUUGAUUACGUCCCUACCCUUUGUACACACCGCCCGUCGCUACUACCGAUUGAAUGGUUUAGUGAGAUCUUCGGAUUGGCGCCUACGCGGCUUCUCUGAGGCCACGCUGGAUGCCGAAAAGUUGCUCAAACUGUAUCAUUUAGAGGAAGUAAAAGUCGUAACA